UACGUAGGUGGCAAGCGUUGUUCGGAAUUAUUGGGCGUAAAGGGCGCGUAGGCGGUCUUGUAAGUCAGCUGUGAAAGCCCGGGGCUCAACCUCGGAACGGCAUUCGAUACGGGACGGCUAGAGACCGGGAGAGGAGAGUGGAAUAGCCAGUGUAGAGGUGAAAUUCGUAGAUAUUGGCUGGAACACCGGUGGCGAAAGCGGCUCUCUGGCCCGGUUCUGACGCUGAGGCGCGAAAGCGUGGGGAGCAAACAGG
rnacentral:rRNA from 1 species